GACGAACGCUGGCGGCGUGCCUAAUACAUGCAAGUAGAACGCUGAAGAGAGGAGCUUGCUCUUCUUGGAUGAGUUGCGAACGGGUGAGUAACGCGUAGGUAACCUGCCUUGUAGCGGGGGAUAACUAUUGGAAACGAUAGCUAAUACCGCAUAACAAUGGAUGACACAUGUCAUUUAUUUGAAAGGGGCAAUUGCUCCACUACAAGAUGGACCUGCGUUGUAUUAGCUAGUAGGUGAGGUAACGGCUCACCUAGGCGACGAUACAUAGCCGACCUGAGAGGGUGAUCGGCCACACUGGGACUGAGACACGGCCCAGACUCCUACGGGAGGCAGCAGUAGGGAAUCUUCGGCAAUGGGGGCAACCCUGACCGAGCAACGCCGCGUGAGUGAAGAAGGUUUUCGGAUCGUAAAGCUCUGUUGUAAGUCAAGAACGAGUGUGAGAGUGGAAAGUUCACACUGUGACGGUAGCUUACCAGAAAGGGACGGCUAACUACGUGCCAGCAGCCGCGGUAAUACGUAGGUCCCGAGCGUUGUCCGGAUUUAUUGGGCGUAAAGCGAGCGCAGGCGGUUUGAUAAGUCUGAAGUUAAAGGCUGUGGCUCAACCAUAGUUCGCUUUGGAAACUGUCAAACUUGAGUGCAGAAGGGGAGAGUGGAAUUCCAUGUGUAGCGGUGAAAUGCGUAGAUAUAUGGAGGAACACCGGUGGCGAAAGCGGCUCUCUGGUCUGUAACUGACGCUGAGGCUCGAAAGCGUGGGGAGCGAACAGGAUUAGAUACCCUGGUAGUCCACGCCGUAAACGAUGAGUGCUAGGUGUUGGAUCCUUUCCGGGAUUCAGUGCCGCAGCUAACGCAUUAAGCACUCCGCCUGGGGAGUACGACCGCAAGGUUGAAACUCAAAGGAAUUGACGGGGGCCCGCACAAGCGGUGGAGCAUGUGGUUUAAUUCGAAGCAACGCGAAGAACCUUACCAGGUCUUGACAUCCCGAUGCUAUUUCUAGAGAUAGAAAGUUACUUCGGUACAUCGGUGACAGGUGGUGCAUGGUUGUCGUCAGCUCGUGUCGUGAGAUGUUGGGUUAAGUCCCGCAACGAGCGCAACCCCUAUUGUUAGUUGCCAUCAUUCAGUUGGGCACUCUAGCGAGACUGCCGGUAAUAAACCGGAGGAAGGUGGGGAUGACGUCAAAUCAUCAUGCCCCUUAUGACCUGGGCUACACACGUGCUACAAUGGUGGGUACAACGAGUUGCGAGUCGGUGACGGCAAGCUAAUCUCUUAAAGCCAAUCUCAGUUCGGAUUGUAGGCUGCAACUCGCCUACAUGAAGUCGGAAUCGCUAGUAAUCGCGGAUCAGCACGCCGCGGUGAAUACGUUCCCGGGCCU
rnacentral:rRNA from 1 species